CUGAGGUUUUAUUCUGGCUUUUGAGUUUAAUUUAUGGAUUGUACUAUAUGCAAGCUUUAGCGCUUAUUGGUUGUUUUAUAAAUUGAAAGUUCAUACUAAUUGAUUUUAGAUCUGUAAUAUAGAGAAUUAAAUAUAUAAGUUGUUUUGAUUUAGGAAUUCAUAAUAGCAUUGAUAAAAUUUGUGCCAGCAAUUGCGGUUACACAGAUGAUGCAAUUAAAUUUUUUUCGGUUUGUAAUAUUUUAGAUUCAGUAAAGAAUUUAAUUUUAAUUUUAUUAGGUGAAAUUAGUAAGAUUGAUUUAAAUUUUAGAAGAGGUAAUGAGGUUACGAGAUUUCUAUAGUAGACUAGGAUUAGAUACCCUAUUAUUGGAAAUGUAAAUUUUAAUGCCUGAGUAUUAGUAGUUAUGUUCUUGAAAUUUAAAGAAUCUGGCGGUAUUUUAGUCUAUUCAGAGGAACCUGUCCUGUAAUUGAUAGUCCACGAUUAAUUGAACUUGUUCUUAGUUUGUAUAUCGUCGUAGUUGGAAUGUUUUAAGAGGAAAUUGAAUGUUCAGGAUUUAUUUGUUAAAGGAAUUCAGAUCAAGAUACAGCGUAUGGAUAAGAAGAGAUGGGUUACAAUAAAUUGAUUUAUAUGGUUAGGAUUUUUAACAGUAUCCUAUAAAUUGGAUUUGAUAGUAAUAUAAUUAAUUUAAAUUAUAUGAUUUUAGCUCUAUGAUAUGCACAUAUCGCCCGUCGCUCCUUCCCUAAAGAAGGAUAAGUCGUAACAUAGUAGGUGUACUGGAAAGUGUACCUAGAAUGUC
rnacentral:ncRNA from 1 species